ensembl:lncRNA
GAGCCGCGGACCGAGAGAGAUCCUUUGCUGAUGGUGGAAAAGUUAACGCGACAGUAGCAGCCUUUUGUGGAGAAAUUCGGAGAUUUGCUCGCCAUUUCCCAUCGCUUCACCUGCUCCAACCUGGUCAUCUGCUCCUCCGUCUGGAUCUUGCUUCAGCAAACACCACCAUCCUCCAGAGACCACUCACCCUGGACCACUGCUGUUACAGCACUACAGCCCUGGUGAGGAUUGCUGAAGUUAACUUGCAGAUGGAGUAAACGUCACUAAAGAUCAAGUCCCUCCACCAGUGUCUUACAUUAGGGAGUACAUGAAAAAUUCAUGAACUCCAUCUCCCUGCUGGACCUCUGGCAUUUUGUCAGCAAUUCAGUGCCUUCAGAGGUAUCACAUGUACCUGCCCUUCUCGCUUCAGGGCGUAGUCAGUCAAGAGGAUAAAAUAAGCGAAGCAAAGGCAGCGAGCAGAUUAAACACAUUUCUUCUGUAAGACAAAAAGGUGUGAAAGCGUGUCUUGUACCCGAGUGUAAAAGCGAUGGAGGUGAAGUUGGGCUAUAAUGCUCUGUGGCAAAUUGAUUAUAUAUGAGCUGCAACGAAGCACCUGUUCAGAGUAUCGAUCGGGAGACAAUUGGGCUCGACUCAGUCCAGGAGCAACUUUGACAGGCACAGAUGUGAGAUACAUCGAGAGCAUUAAGCCUCCCGCCGCACUUCUUCCUCCUCUUCCUCCUCCCCCCCAACACUCUGACAGAAAUGAUCACUUGUGUAGAUUGGUGUUGGAUGCUGCGAGGCAUCAUAUAGACGGACCAAUAAUGAGGAUAUGAUUCCACAGUCCACCACCUGGGCUGGAGUGGUUGGGGAGGAGGGUGUAAAACGGUUGGAAAAGGAAGACGGGGAUAAGAAGAUGAGAGGAGAACUGAAGGAGGAUAUAAUGGCGCUUGUGUGGAGCCACAAUCCCCAGGCUCUGUCUGGACCCAGAGGCAAUAGAGGCAGCAUCUGCUCGAGGCAGAGCAUAAUGCUGAGGAGAUUGAAGAACACUAUUGAUUAAAACCAUCAAUUCAUCCUAGUUUUUUUCAUGUUUUGUUUUUGUUCUCACAGCAGUGGUUGUAACACGUGGAGGAUGGAAGAAAGAAAGCGAGAAAUCAAAACCAUGACAGACGUGUUGCAGCCUCACAACAGCACAUUAACAAAUGGUGGAUAGGAAGACUUAUUUUACAGGAAGAUAAACGGCGCAACGUGAGAGCGACGUUGGAGGAAGAGAGGUGAAGAGUGCACAUAGGAGAACAGCAGACGACGAGCGGGGAAAAUCAAGUUUAAUGUCGAGCCUGAAAAAGUCUAGGCGUGGACUCAGACGUGGACAUUUAAGCUCGUAUUGCUAUCAGAGACAGUUAUAAACACCAGCCGCCACUUUCACUGUGGAGGACCAGGAGGACUUCGCUGGAGGACCGUGAUGCUAAUUAGCCUGUUGCUACUGCUGUGACAAAGGACCCCGCCGCUGAACUUGGAUGGACACACGGACGACACCUGCUGCAUCUCGCCUGCUGCUGCUGCAUCUGCAUCUUCACCGCCGACACUUCAGACCUGCUUUGCAUCUUGGAUUGGACGGCGUGUGGUGACGAAUGACAAGCACCGGAUCCAGUUGACCCGGGAGGUGUGGAUGCUGUCAGCGUGGGAGGGAAGAACGCCGAGACAUUUCAGUGGGACUCUCCAUUCAUGCGCUAACCUCUUCAGCUGCAUUGUUUUAAGGAGAUUCGGUGGAGUGGUGCUUCAUCUAUCUCCCUCUGUCCCUUUUCUCCCCCAAAAUGAAUUCCCUUUGUCCAUCUUCUGCCUCUGUCAUUUUGCUCCGGGCGAAAUGAAUAAAAUUGGGGACACAGGUGAAAGGAUGAGCAGGUAUGAUUAAAGGUAAAGGGAAGUGAUAAUGGGGAAUAAGAGGUGAUACGAAAGGAGAAUAGAUAUGAUCAGUGGCAUCACUCUGGGGACUUACUGCACUUGUUUAUAUGCUGCUUUCUCCAUGAUUUAUUUUUUUGUUUUUUCUGAAAAGGGAAAUUUAUAUUCUUGUUGUUGAAGUGCAUCUAGUGCCAUAAUCCAGUCACAAUAACACUUUGUUCAGUCCUCUGAUUGAUGUUAUGAGUGAAUAUGUGCAAAGGGACAGAUGACUGCCCCUUUAGCUUCAGCUCUUCUCAAUGCUUAGUGAUGAUAAACAGCAUACUAACAUAGCAUUUGGCCCAAAUUAUGCACAUGUGCAUGUUUAGAAUUUUAUUUUGAAGGUGUACUAGAAUAUGUUUGCAUGCUUUAACGUUUACAACACACAUUGUUUGUACUUUAUUUUUCUGCAGCUUCUCUUGAUACCCACCAUCUGAAACAUACGGUUUUAGCACAUUUCUUUCAGGCCCAGUAAACACACGUUGGCAUUGGUUACAUACUUACCACAAUCCUAGAGCUAUAGUAGAGUAUGGAUGUUCCCCCAGCAGAGGCUUGUUUGACGGCAGGCGUUCUACUAUUGUGUUACAUGGUGACGUAACGGGGCAUUUCAGGACAUUUUAGAGGCACAAAAAACUAAAAAGAAUAGCAUUUAUUCCAAAUUGAUGAACAAUAUUGGAAAGGAGUAUUGAACUCCCUCUUAUAGAUCUUUUUUUCUGGUGAAAUGAAAAGAAUGCAAAUAAUUAAAUAAAACUGAGAAUGGGGCACUCAGAAAGCUGACACAGAUGCAUGAAAUACAACCUGUGAUGAGGCGUCAUACAGCAGGUAGACAUCCUUUAAGGGACUUUAAGCCUAAAAAAGGUGUGAAAGAUAGAUAUGAAUUGAAAAAAAGAAGCUAGAUUACAGCAUAAUCCUCCCCACAAGGUGAAAGCAGAGAGGAUGGAAAGCAAAAUUAGCUCCUAGUCCCCUCAGGUCAUAAAAGUAUGACUUGGGUUGUUCCUUUCUGCUGAAGUUACCUGUGACAGAAAUCCAAGACACAGCCACCAAACCAGACGGCAGCGAGACCAAAGUGAUCCGGCGUGUUUAACAUUCCUCAGAUAGCUCUGGGAGUUAUUUGGAGCCUGAACACAAUGAAAGGCUGAUGGGGUUUCACAGGGAGGCAAACUCACUUUCAAUCAGCAUCACAUAACGAAAGUAAACAAUAGCAAUUACAGUAAUUAGUGUUGGUUAAACUUCAGUUUUGCCACACUUGCGUGCUGAAAAUAGAAUAGUUUGACAUCAGGGAGGCUGAGACUCCUCACACAAGGCUGCCAUCUAGAGGUCACAUCCUCCCUGCAUGACUGGAAGAAUCUUAUCUUUUCCUGUGAACAUCUGAUCAAAUGAAUGCAUGUUUAUUUAUAUAUAUAUUUUUAAAAUUCCAUUUGAUGGCCAUUGCCUGCAGUCAAGGAAAGUGACCCUGUAGCACAGAUGUAUGCCAACGUUUGGGCACUGGUGGGAAUAUUUUGAUUAUAUUGAAGCGGAAGGAAAUAAAUACACCCCGGCAGCAUUCAGAAUGAGCCUUUCUCAUGUUAGCGCACUGUUGCUCUUUAUUUCAUUACAACAGAUAGAAGGACAUUAAACAUUAACUGUGGCCUCAGCAGAACGUUGUGCACCCUUCUAAUUGUAACGCCUCAGAAGUUUAUUCACUCAUUCGGGCUGAAAUAGUCGUUAUUAGCAAACUGAUGACACUUUUAAAACUGAUAAAUUCAGAAUUUUUAUCCUUGUGGCUUCUCUCAACAACCACAGGCUCCUCUAGACAACCAUCCCAUCCAGAAAUGAAGCUUCUCAGUGCCCACCAAACAGCUGAAAGCUAUAAACAGACACAAGACAGCUUCUUGCUUCGAGUCUCAGCCGUCUGGAAUGGUAUUAAGAAAUGGCAUUUAGGGGAGAUGUAGAAGUCAAGACAAAACCUGAGAGAUCAAGACUGCAAAGGCGAUGCAGGAAGCUUCAGCAGAAAUAAAAGAGAUGUUUCUUUCUCAUGAAACCUGAUCUGUCACCUCUUCACAAACAUCCUCAUCGACACCUGCAGUCUACAAAGCAACAACUUUGGUAACAAGUGCUGUAUUGGCAUCAAAGGUAUGUUUAGAUGGAAGAGAAAGGAACAGCAGUUGUGGAACUGUGUCCACUGAUUGGAGAAACACUGUGUAGAUGGAGGGAAGAACAGGUUCCACUGCAUAUCAGUAGAUUCUGGAGGCUGGUGUAAUGCAGCCACUUAAGAAAGUGAAAUUGUAAAGAAGUACUUCAAGAAACACAAGCUGAAGCUUCCAGGAAAACUCUCAAGGUGCUUUAACCUGAACAUCACUCGAAAUCUGUGGACAGAUCUAUAAUAUCUCCAAGUAAUUUGCAGAAAGAGGAAGAUUCCUGAAUAAAGAAAUGAUUUACCAAAAAGCAUUCAUGUAAAGGUGGGAUUACAAGAUAUUGACUUUGUGGCGAUGCCCAAACUUUUGCACAUGCCUGUACACCCUUUAUAUGUUUUUUUUUAAUGAAUGAAAUACAAAAUCACGCAGGGCCUCAAGUGCUUUAUUCCUCUGUUUGCUACCUGAGUGCAUUUACUUUCUUUCUGUGUUUUAAGUUUCCAUCUGCCUCCUUUUCUCAUUUCCAGUCCUUUUUCAGCACUGACAUGGUUGUGAUCAAUGAUGCUUCCAGGACUCGAUAAGCUUCAUCUCCU